rnacentral:rRNA from 1 species
UACAGAGGGUGCAAGCGUUGUUCGGAAUUAUUGGGCGUAAAGGGCUCGUAGGCGGUUUGUCGCGUCGGGAGUGAAAACCAUGAGCUUAACUCGUGGCUUGCUUUCGAUACGGGCAGACUAGAGGCAUGCAGGGGAGAACGGAAUUCCUGGUGUAGCGGUGAAAUGCGCAGAUAUCAGGAGGAACACCGAUGGCGAAGGCAGCCCCCUGGGCUAACACUGACGCUCAGGCACGAAAGCGUGGGGAGCAAACAGG